GCGGGUCCGACUCGCGGCCUACAGACACUACGUAGGUGUGAGACAAACUUCCUAGGUGUCGGGAGAUACAUACAUCAAAUUGACUACAUGAUAAAUCUCCGGCAGGAAAUUCGCGGUCUCUUUUGGUACACAAAGCCGAUAAAUGUGCCAGGGCAAGUGGUUGGACCUCACACCCAAUAUCCAAACCCGAGACUCCAGAGAGCUGUUAUGUAGAAAAGACUUGCAUUAAUCUCCGGUGGUGAAUGCGACGUUUCUACGAAUUACCUGGUGGUACGCCGAUCCUGACCGACGGUCUGUAGUCCGAUGGCUCCGUUGGUCUCUUCCACGACAAGAGCAGGAUAGAAAAGACAUUCGAUGGGUUAAGGUUUAAUAUAUAGAUAUAGAUAUAGUAAGCGAAACCAACAAAAAGUUUGUGCCAACGUAUUUCUCGACAGUGGUUUAGUGAAGAAAUCGGGUGAGAAAAACGACGCUGGACCUGCACGAUCGUGAAUAAUACCAAAGACUCGUUUCUCGCCUAUUCAUGAGUCGCAUUAAGGCAGCGAGGGACGAGUCAAUAUACAAAGGAUAAUCCCUUGAUUGCGUGUGCGAGCACGAAAUUCUUUUCUCACUUGGUUUAGACCCAUGAGGAGAAACUUCUUCUUCUUCUUCUUUACCCUCAGAUUGUUCUUCUUCUUAUUCUUAUUCAUCUACUUUAUUCUUGUUAUUUUAUUAUUUAGUAUUCUUAUUUUAUGCUAUUCAUUUCUAUUUCAAUUUAUUACUUUUUUUUUUUGUUUUCUUUUUCUAGGAAGAUUUUGCGCCGACACCAAUGUCCCGAUCGAUUUCACGCCGAUCAAAUUCAAAUAACCUGCUGAAAAAAAAUAUCUCGGCGGCAACUUGAUUUUUGCCUUACAGCGCCACCUGGCGGUCUUUGCCAUAACUAAUAAAGCGAACUUUGUUGCUAGAGGUUAUACAAGAUGGCUGCUACUCUUCAUCACCGUAUUUAGACUUUUUUGUGAAGAGGUGAAGACCCGGUGCAUAUUUUGUACAAUGCAACGCCACGAGGAACAAGAACAAGGGAAGAAUACUCAAGAGGAAGAGGAAGAUAAAAAUGAAGAAGAAGAAAUCUAAGUUUAAGUUUAAGAAGAAGAAUAUGAAGUAGAAGGUGAAGUAUUAAACGCCCACCCGAGUGUAACAGUUUACUCGGAUCGUUUUUUUCCGAUCGUAUGGUAUUAUAUUUAUAUAUAUGUAUAUUUAUAUUUGUAUGGAUGUAAGAGUUAAAAGUUUAAGUUGUAUAUAACUAACAACAACUACUCGAUAUAUUAUAAUACUUGUGUGUUGUGUGUGUUGCUUACAACGAUCGGGGCGAUUUUAUUGCCGCACAAGUCUGUGAGACGAUGGGAAUGUUGGCGCCAUUUCUCGCAUAAGCCAGGGGCCGGCUGGCCUGGCUUGA